rnacentral:rRNA from 1 species
AUGGUCCGCCGCCGCCGCCGCCGCCGUCUCGCGUCCCCCAUCAUGCCGCUCCCGGCGCCUGCGCCGCCGCUGGACAACGACGACCUCCUCCGUGAGAUCCUACUCCUCCUUCCUCCGCAGCCAUCCUCCCUCCUCCGCGCCUCCGUGGUCUGCAAGCGCUGGCGCCGCCUCGUCUCCGAUCCGAGAUUCCUCCGCCGCUUCCGCGCGCACCACCGUAGGCCCCCACUCCUCGGCUGCUUCUCCUACGACCAAGAUAUCGGUUACGUCUUCACUCCCACGCUGGACCCGCCCGACCGCAUCCCCGCCGCGCGUUUCUCCCUGCCGCAGCGCUGCCGCGACGAGGGAGGGUUGGACUUCGUGGAAUGCCAUCACGGCCUCGCCCUUUUCCUCAAUAAGAAACAACCCGAGGCCGUCGUGUGGAACCCCAUCUCCGGUCACCAGCACCGAGUAGCUUUUCCACCAGAGUUCGGCGACGCUAGAGAGAGGGAGAUCCUAUGCGCGGCGGUGCUCUGCGCUGCCGGUGAUGACGACCCUGGCCAUGUGCACGGUGAUUGUGGCUUGAGCUCUUUUAAAUUGGCUUUGGUGCGAGGUGGCCAAGACCAUGCAAGUCUAUUUGUGUGCCUCUACAAAUCCAAGUCUGGCCUAUGGGGAAAUGUUAUCUCAACGACUAAAGACUGGUACACAUUGUUUUAUUGGAGAAAGUCCAGCGUCCUGAUUGGGAAUGCACUUUACUGGUGGUGUUGCCAGAUUGAAGGUUGCAUUCUUGAGUUUGAUUUUAAAAUGCAGAAGCUUGUUACAAUUGAGAAGCCAGUAGACGGCGGUUGUUCCAACUAUCAGAUCAUGCGGACAGAGGAAAGUAGUCUCGGACUCAUCAUUUUGACAGAACUGACCAUGCAGUUAUGGGAGCGGAAGGUCAGUUCUGAUGAUGUUGCUACAUGGGUCCUUCAGAAAACCAUUGAGUUGACAAAGCACCUUUGGCCAAGACAGUCCGUCCAGGUCUUCUGGACCAGGAUACAUGGGUACGAGGAGGAUCACAAUGUGAUAUUUCUGGGGACAUCUAGUGGUUCUUUCAUGAUUCAACUCGACUCAAUGCAGUUCAAUAACCGAUUCCAAUUCAAGUCCAUCUUCACCCAUUUUCCCUACACAAGCUUUUAUGCUGCUGACUGGGCUGCUGGUGGUAGAGAUGAUGGAACUGAAAUGUGA